UACGUAGGGGGCUAGCGUUGUUCGGAAUCACUGGGCGUAAAGCGCACGUAGGCGGAUUGUCAAGUCGGGGGUGAAAUCCUGAGGCUCAACCUCAGAACUGCCUUCGAUACUGGCAAUCUCGAGUCCGGAAGAGGUUGGUGGAACAGCUAGUGUAGAGGUGAAAUUCGUAGAUAUUAGCUAGAACACCAGUGGCGAAGGCGGCCAACUGGUCCGGUACUGACGCUGAGGUGCGAAAGCGUGGGGAGCGAACCGG
rnacentral:rRNA from 1 species